GUUGAUCAUACCAUAAUGGUAUGAACCUUGUGGGUUUGGCCUUGGUCCACUUGCUGACAAGUUUGUCCUGAUGGAGCGGGCCUGAUUAAGGGACCAGUCGAUUUGGAUGGUAGGUCCACCAGGAGGAGGACCAGAGACGGGGGUGUUAGAGCUGCUAUAGUGAAGUACAGCAGUGGUGGUGAGGACUGGAGUCGUGAAACGAGAUGAAACAACGAUGUAAUGGUCUUUUGCUUCUUGAUUAGCUGUAAUGAGGACAGAGUAAGAUUGGCCAGCAUGGACAUCAAGUGAGGAAUAAGUUGUUUGCAAUGUGUGUGUUCCCUCUACUUCAACUAAUGUCAUUUUGUGUCCUUCAACGCGGAAAUUCAAUGAAUUUUGCAAUCCAACGUUUGAUAUCCUCAAUCUAUAGGUUUUCCCUUGAUCGACUGUGAAUGUAACACCAUUAGGACCACGACCAUUGAUAAGAAUGCCAUCAGGGAAAGGUAACUUCCUGCCUCCGUCAAGAAUUGCUUUCAAGUCCGUGUGGUUCUUUUUGUACCAAUCUCCAAUGAGGAUGGUGUAAUCGUUUGCAGGGUCCGGAAAAGGGACGGGGAUUCUAGGCCUGCUGAGAAUCCUAAUCCCUCCAAAACCACCAGCAGCUUUGUGGAAUGCAAGAGAUGGGAAG
rnacentral:misc_RNA from 1 species